UGCCAGGCGCGGGGGGAAGGCGGGGAGGAGCCGAGGCUCCAGCUUAAAUUCCAUGGCAUCUGUUCAUUAUUAUACAGUGAGGAUUUUUAUAUGGACAGCUAAAUUAAAGACAGAUUUUUGCCAGAAUUGCAGAUCCCAUAAAAAUGAUGACACAGGAUGGGGGCUUUUUCUUUUAAAAAAAGAAAGUAGGAAAGAUUAAAAAACACAACCCCACAAACCACAGCCCAAACCCCUCUGUGCCCCCUCCUCUGUCGUGACCAGUUUCUUUGCCCCCUUUUUCUUCGUCCACUAAGUAGGGAUGACCAGGGAGAACCAAACCCCAGGGCUGUUCAUGCCCAGCCAGCUCACAGAUGCCCAGUGACCAACCAGCUCACUCCCACAGCCGCUGGCAGGGGCAGAGGCAGGACAGCCAGGUCAGGCGUGGAGGGCCAGGGUGGGACAGGAGCAGGAAUGGGGUCCGCUCUGGAAGGCAACGUCAGAAAGGGACAGUAGCCAGGGAGACUUGACCUUUCUGUGUUCCUAAAUCAAAGGGCAGGCUGCACUUUUGGCUGGUGGCCAAGGUUCUGGAGGCAGCCGGUGAGGACCAGGCAUGCAGUGCGAACCGCUCGGGGCACCGGACAGCAUCCACUUCCCGCGCACCCACGAAGAGGGCAAUAUAAGAACUGGGCACUCAGCACGAUUUGCAAUUCAUGGGAGUUCUGGAAUUUUGAAUUUCAGAGGUUCUAGAAUGCUGGAACUUGCACCUUGGUGGUGUUCUAGAACUCUCAGGGAUACUGGAUUUCUAGAACUACAAAAGGGUCCUGCGUGAGGGGACAGAUCUCGCGGACUUUAGAGUUUCUCUCUGCCACCACUUAACUUUGAAGCUCCGUGAUGAUGUUGUGGGGCCCUUGGGGCCGCUGAAAUGUCUGGGCAGGGAAGAAAAAUAUCUGUAGAGUUCUGCGUCUUCCAGACAAUUGCUCUAUCUGUGUCUGUGUCUGUCUGUGACUCUGUCUGUGUAGCUGUCUGCUUGUCUCUCUCGGAUUCGGAGCUGACAGAAUUCAUAUCAGAAGAGUGAACGCAGGGACAUCUGUGUGCGGAAUGACUGUGCUGCUCGAACCUGCCAAUCGCUCCUGGCACGAGCUGGAAAACCUCUUGGCUGCCUCUCUUCAGGAGUAAAUUUGAAGAUCUAAGAAAUCACAGUCCUCCAUGUGUGCAAAGGAAGACCUAAAAGUGUUGAACCUAAGGGCAUAGCAAGAAGGUCUAGUUAUGCGUGAAGAAUUCCUGAACUGGGCCGGGUGCGGUGGCUCAUGCCUGUAAUCC
rnacentral:lncRNA from 1 species